AUGAGAGAACGGAGCGAGCGGCAAGGUGACACGAGAGCCGCCCUCCUCCCUCCCGCCCAGGCAGCGAGCCCUCCGCCUCGGGGCCGCCGGAGCCGAGCCCCUCCCGCUGCCCGCGGGCAGCUCCCGAGCUCCCUCACCGCUCUCUCCUCGGGGCCGUUUCUCCGCGUCGCUGCCUCUGGUAAUAAGCCGAGGACAGGGGCGAGCCGCCGCUCGAGGCUCCGCUGCCGCUCUUCCCCUUCAGCCGAGCGGGGUGCGCGGCUCCGUCCGGCCCGGCCUGAGGUGAGGCCCUGCUCCCGCCGGAGCCCCUCCGCUGCGGCGCGGGGAGCGCCGGGCCCGCCUGUCCCCUCCGCCCCGGCUCUGCUGCACCUGCCGCGCUGCCGGGCUGUCCCUGCGGCGCGUGCCGAGGAGAGGAGAAGGCACUCUCUCUCCGUCCUCCCUCAACUUCUCAUCACUUUCCUCCGCCCCCGCUCGGCCCCACCGCGCUGCCGACCCGGCGCCCGCCCGCCCGCCGGACGCAUGCACCGGCGCCGCCGUCGACCCUCCGGAGAUGCCCUCGGGCACACAGGGAGCGGUCGCCCCUCGGCCCUGCACCUCGCCGGCACAGAGAGCUGCUGUCCCGCUCUCCGGGCGCCCUCCCGCCCCAUGCACUGCCCGGCUCCCAGGACGGCGGCGAGCUGCCGGCGGGGCAGGUGCCCUGUGCCCGCCUCUCGCGGGUGGGACCCGGCCGCGCUCCGCCAAUCAGUCCGUCAAUCUGGCGGGGAGGCCGCGGCCGUGCGAGGUGAGCCCGGAGCCGAAUUACUAAUGAUUUCCAAACUGCGUGCGCGAGUAAUAGCAUCUAGAGCCAUUCUUACCCUCCUGAAAAGAAGAUGGCACAGAGGCAAAAGGUGCUGGAAUAAGCCAGGUCAAGUCAGCAGAGCAGUCAGAUAAUUGUAAAGAUGUGGUUUCGUUAUGUGACAAGUAAGGACAUGGUACUGAUAGUGACUAAGAAAUUAUUUUGCAACCCAUGCUGUAUUGCAAAUGUUGAUUAGAAAUAACUUUUCUCCAAACUGUAAUUAGAUGUGAAAUAAUCAUACAAACCUUCAGACAUCUAUGAAAUGGUGUGUAAGUGGUGUUAAUGUGGUGAUUGUGUAGUGAAUUGGAAUUGAGAGUUGUGCAUAAUAAACACAUGAAAUUAAGCA
rnacentral:lncRNA from 1 species